rnacentral:rRNA from 1 species
GGCGAACGCUGGCGGCGUGCCUAAUACAUGCAAGUCGAGCGGACCGGCUUGGGGCUUGCCUUGAUUCGGUCAGCGGCGGACGGGUGAGUAACACGUGGGCAACCUGCCCGCAAGACCGGGAUAACUCCGGGAAACCGGAGCUAAUACCGGAUAACACCGAAGACCGCAUGGUCUUCGGUUGAAAGGCGGCCUUUGUGCUGUCACUUGCGGAUGGGCCCGCGCCGAAUUAGCUAGUUGGGGGGGUAACGGCCCACCAAGGCAACGAGGGGUAGCCGCCCGGGGGGGGGGGUCGGCCACCUGGGACUGGGACACGGCCCCGGAUCCUACGGGGGGGAGCAGGAGGGAAUCCUCCGGAAAGGGGGAAAGGCCGGCGGGGGGACGGCGGGGGAGCGGAGAAGGCCCUCGGGUCGGAAAGCUCUGUUUUGAGGGACGAAAGAGAGUCGUUCGAAGAGGGGGGCGCGGUGACGGUACCUAACGAGAAAGCCCCGGCUAACUACGUG